rnacentral:tRNA from 1 species
GCAGUGGUAGUUCAGUGGUAGAACUCUUGUCUUCCAUUCAGAAGACCUGGGUUCGAUUCCUGGCCAAUGUA